rnacentral:tRNA from 1 species
GGUUGUGACUCAAUGGUAGAGCGCUUGCCUGGCGUGCGUGAGGCAAUGGGUUCAAUCCCCCCCAUACCA